rnacentral:rRNA from 1 species
AGAGCGAACGCUGGCGGCGUGCUUAACACAUGCAAGUCGAGUGCGCGCCUGUAGCAAUACAGGUGGCGCACGGCGCACGGGUGCGUAACACGUGGGUAAUCUGCCCUUCGAUGGGGAAUAACUCCGGGAAACCGAAGCUAAUUCCGCAUAACAUUCCUUGGACCUCGGUCUGGGGAUUCAAAGCCGUAAGGCGUCGGAGGAGGAACCCGCGCACGAUUAGUUAGUUGGCAGGGUAACGGCCUACCAAGACUUUGAUCGUUA